UACAGAGGGUGCGAGCGUUGUCCGGAAUCACUGGGCGUAAAGAGCUCGUAGGUGGUUUGUCGCGUUGUUCGUGAAAACUCACAACUCAAUUGUGGGCGUGCGGGCGAUACGGGCAGACUGGAGUACUGCAGGGGAGACUGGAAUUCCUGGUGUAGCGGUGGAAUGCGCAGAUAUCAGGAGGAACACCGGUGGCGAAGGCGGGUCUCUGGGCAGUAACUGACGCUGAGGAGCGAAAGCGUGGGGAGCGAACAGG
rnacentral:rRNA from 1 species